CUUGUAGUUAAUCAUAAUAUCUUCUAAAUUUAACCAGGUGUUUCAAUGCAUUUACAUUACACAACAUUUAUAGUGGAGAAACUUGUCAGUUUGGUU